GCAGUCGAGCGGUAGAGAGAAGCUUGCUUCUCUUGAGAGCGGCGGACGGGUGAGUAAUGCCUAGGAAUCUGCCUGGUAGUGGGGGAUAACGUUCGGAAACGGACGCUAAUACCGCAUACGUCCUACGGGAGAAAGCAGGGGACCUUCGGGCCUUGCGCUAUCAGAUGAGCCUAGGUCGGAUUAGCUAGUUGGUGGGGUAAUGGCUCACCAAGGCGACGAUCCGUAACUGGUCUGAGAGGAUGAUCAGUCACACUGGAACUGAGACACGGUCCAGACUCCUACGGGAGGCAGCAGUGGGGAAUAUUGGACAAUGGGCGAAAGCCUGAUCCAGCCAUGCCGCGUGUGUGAAGAAGGUCUUCGGAUUGUAAAGCACUUUAAGUUGGGAGGAAGGGCAGUUGCCUAAUACGUAACUGUUUUGACGUUACCGACAGAAUAAGCACCGGCUAACUCUGUGCCAGCAGCCGCGGUUAUACAGAGGGUGCAAGCGUUUAUCGGAAUUACUGGGCGUAAAGCGCGCGUAGGUGGUUU
rnacentral:rRNA from 1 species